rnacentral:rRNA from 1 species
UACGUAGGGUGCAAGCGUUAAUCGGAAUUACUGGGCGUAAAGCGUGCGCAGGCGGUUGUGUAAGUCAGAUGUGAAAUCCCCGGGCUCAACCUGGGAAUGGCAUUUGAGACUGCACAGCUAGAGUGUGUCAGAGGGGGGUAGAAUUCCACGUGUAGCAGUGAAAUGCGUAGAGAUGUGGAGGAAUACCGAUGGCGAAGGCAGCCCCCUGGGAUAACACUGACGCUCAUGCAAUGAAAGGCGUGGGGAGCAAACAGG